CUCAGUAGCAAGUAUUUCACCAAAAAGAUACCUCGACUCAUAAACAGACCGACCAAAUACUUCUGAAUUGGGCAAAGCAAAGUAAAUAUGCUCAAAUAUACAUUGCUUUGGUUCAGGAUGGGGUAUUAGGCAAAGCGAUUGAAUCCCUUCUUUAUCCACCACCAAAACCUCCCCAGGAUUAACCUCUCUCUCAUACGUAGCUUCAAUCAAAUCAAGAGCACAAGUCUC
rnacentral:misc_RNA from 1 species